UACGGAGGAUGCAAGCGUUAUCCGGAAUGAUUGGGCGUAAAGCGUCCGCAGGUGGCAAUGUAAGUCUGCUGUUAAAGAGUCUAGCUCAACUAGAUAAAAGCAGUGGAAACUACAUAGCUAGAGUACGUUCGGGGCAGAGGGAAUUCCAGGUGUAGCGGUGAAAUGCGUAGAUAUCUGGAGGAAUACCGGUGGCGAAGGCGGCAUCCUGGACCGGCAUUGACGCUGAGGAGCGAAAGCUAGGGGAGCAAACGGG
rnacentral:rRNA from 1 species